ACUCGGCUUCUGAGCCAGAUCCUGUCAGGACACCUUCUUCAACCUGCCAAGCGGGGACCCACCCAGGAGUUCCUAUUUUUUCCUGAUUUGCUCUGAGAAGAGGCCGAAACACCGGGGUACACCCAAGAACGGAGAGGGCUUUCUCCCCACGUGUUAGCCAGGGGGCACAUUUCCCCCGCGGCGGCCGCCCAUGGCCGGGCCUUGGCAGAGCUGUCCCUCGAAUCCGGGCCGAGCCGGGGCCGGCCCCGAAACCCGCUCUGGGAGGGAAGCCACGCCCGGCCCCAGGAAAGGAGCGACGGGAGGGCCCGCGGGAACGGCCUGGCCCAGGCCCGCGCGCCCUGCCCUGUGUUCCCGGGAGGCGCGGUCUCCUGGCGGCAGGGGAGUCCCGGGAGGGCGCAGGGCGGCGCAGAGCCUGGGAUCCCCGAGGGUCAGGGCGAGCCGGCGGCCAGGGCGCGGCCGGGCGGGGAAGCCAGGGGCGGAGGGGGCGCGGUAAGCCCACGGAGGGCUGACUCAUCCUGGCGCCGCCCUGACUCACCCGCG
rnacentral:lncRNA from 1 species